AACCGGGGGAACUGAAACAUCUAAGUACCCCGAGGAAAAGAAAUCAACCGAGAUUCCCCCAGUAGCGGCGAGCGAACGGGGAGCAGCCCAGAGUCUGAAGCAGCUUGUGUGUUAGUGGAACGGUCUGGAAAGUCCGACGGUACAGGGUGAUAGUCCCGUACAACAAAAUGCACAGGCUGUGAACUCGAAGAGUAGGGCGGGACACGUGGUAUCCUGUCUGAAUAGGGGGGGACCAUCCUCCAAGGCUAAAUACACCUGACUGACCGAUAGUGAAACAGUACCGUGAGGGAAAGGCGAAAAGAACCCCGGCGAGGGGAGUGAAAAAGAACCUGAAACCGUGUACGUACAAGCAGUGGGAGCACCUUCGGGUGUGA
rnacentral:rRNA from 1 species